GAAAUUUGAUGUCUGCGGUGCCCACGUUCAUCCGCCACCAGAGGAAGGGCAGGAAAUCACGUUUCCAAGCGAUCUGACAGCACCACAGAAUCUGACCAAGCCAUGACAACAUGCCAAGAAUGGACUGAAUCAGAAGACCAAGAAGGUCAGCAAGGCGUUUCUCCUGCAGUACCAAGUGCAGUUAACACAGGAGCUCAGUCAGCUAGCACUGCG
rnacentral:lncRNA from 1 species